AUUGAACGCUGGCGGCAUGCCUUACACAUGCAAGUCGAACGGCAGCACGGGAGCAAUCCUGGUGGCGAGUGGCGAACGGGUGAGUAAUAUAUCGGAACGUGCCCAGUCGUGGGGGAUAACGCAGCGAAAGCUGUGCUAAUACCGCAUACGAUCUACGGAUGAAAGCGGGGGAUCGCAAGACCUCGCGCGAUUGGAGCAGCCGAUAUCAGAUUAGCUAGUUGGUGGGGUAAAGGCCCACCAAGGCGCCGAGCUGUAGCUGGUCUGAGAGGACGACCAGCCACACUGGAACUGAGACACGGUCCAGACUCCUACGGGAGGCAGCAGUGGGGAAUUUUGGACAAUGGGCGCAAGCCUGAUCCAGCAAUGCCGCGUGCAGGAUGAAGGCCUUCGGGUUGUAAACUGCUUUUGUACGGAACGAAACGGCCCUUUCUAAUACAAGGGGCUAAUGACGGUACCGUAAGAAUAAGCACCGGCUAACUACGUGCCAGCCGCCGCGGUAAUAC
rnacentral:rRNA from 1 species